ensembl:ncRNA F39C12.5 ncRNA
CAAUGUUAUUGUUGGACGAUCUAAUUAUUCAAACGCACUCUCUCCGACCGCCUUGGGUUCUUUAAACGAAAUGCAAAUUCGAGUGCGUGUAAGAUAGACCAUCGGGCGGCUGGUGCAUGGUCUGACAAAUGUUCUAUUC